rnacentral:rRNA from 1 species
UACGUAGGGGGCGAGCGUUGUCCGGAGUUACUGGGCGUAAAGCGCACGCAGGCGGUCUGCUAAGUUUGGAGUGACAGUUGGUGGCUUAACUGCCAAAGUGCUUCGAAAACUGACAGACUUGAGGGCUUCAGAGGGACACGGAAUUCCGGGUGGAGUGGUGAAAUGCGUAGAGAUCCGGAGGAACACCAAAGGCGAAGGCAGUGUCCUGGGGAGUACCUGACGCUCAGGUGCGAAAGCCAGGGGGAGCGAAACGGG